rnacentral:rRNA from 1 species
AACGUAGGUCACAAGCGUUGUCCGGAAUUACUGGGUGUAAAGGGAGCGCAGGCGGGAAGACAAGUUGGAAGUGAAAUCUAUAGGCUCAACCCAUAAACUGCUUUCAAAACUGUUUUUCUUGAGUAGUGCAGAGGUAGGCGGAAUUCCCGGUGUAGCGGUGGAAUGCGUAGAUAUCGGGAGGAACACCAGUGGCGAAGGCGGCCUACUGGGCACCAACUGACGCUGAGGCUCGAAAGUGUGGGUAGCAAACAGG